GGGCGGGCUGGGGCGCACUUGCCGCUUCCCGGCCUGGUGCGUCGGCCGGCGGCGGCGCGAGCUUCACCCGCGCCUGGCCA
rnacentral:tRNA from 1 species